CUCGACUCGGCGAGAGUCAGUGAAAGAGCGCUCGCCGAAGAGAGUGGUUCAGUGCGCUCAUCGCGUCGGCGCAGAGCGGCGGAAAGUGAAAUGGAAGGAGCAAGGACGAAAUACAUUUUGUGUAUUUUCGGCGCUCGGCGGUCGGGGGCGCGCCGUUUUUUGCCCUUUUUUCGCGCGCGCCCGUUGUUGUAAUUGAAAACUACACCGCGGCACGAAGGCGGCCCGAAGUUCUGCCCAAAUCUCGCACUCACACCGGCGCAGUCGGGCGCACUCGGGCGCAGGCAUACACACACACGCACGCCGGCACGAAGGACGAGCGAAAGGACGAAGCCGAGAAGCAAACGAGCACCGCCGCCGCGGCAGUUCUCUGUUCUCCGCUCUGUGUGUGGUUGUAAAAAGGCGAAAACGUCACGGGAAAAACCGGUUAAUAAAUUAUUGCUAAUCGAAUGGAAACUUGAAGGUUUACAAAACAAAACAGACCACAACAGAUGCUUCUAGAUCAUACGAAAUAUAACCAAACCGAUUUAUGAUGGGCAAAGGAGUAAUACGGAUUGUUUUCGUUAAUUUUCAUUAAUUUGGGGACAACGGAGGCACUAAAACCCAAAGGAAGCCUGACUCAAGCUCCUGCUCUUACAUUAGCCUCUGCCUGUAAAAGUAGCAAGGAAAUUUCUUCGAGCAACAUCAAAACAAUCAUUCAUAUCGAUGUCAUUACAUUUCUGGUAAAUGCUAGCGAAAGAAGUGUAAAAGAGGCGGAGA